CUACUGGCGGCUGCAGUCAAGAAUCUUCCUCAAUGCGCGCAAGCGUGAAGGAGCGACGCCGCGUGAUCGAAGAAGCCCUUCGGGGUGUAAAGAUCUUUUAUUUGAGACGAACUAAUGACGGUACCAAAUGAAUAAGGGGCUGCUAAACUCGUGCCAGCAGCAGCGGUAAUACGAGUGCCCCAAGCGUUACCCGGAUUUAUUGGGCGUAAAGCGUGUCUAGGUGGUUUAUUUAGUCAGUGGUUAAAUCCUCCGGCUCAACUGGAGAUCUGCCACUGAUACUGAUAAACUAGAGGCUGGAAGAGGCAAGCGGAAUUGCCGGUGUAGGGGUCAAAUCCGUUAAUAUCGGCAGGAACACCAAAUGCGAAGGCAGCUUGCUAGGACAGUUCUGACACUAAAGCACGAAAGCGUGGGUAGCGAAUGGGAUUAGAUACCCUUGUAGUC
rnacentral:rRNA from 1 species